rnacentral:rRNA from 1 species
AUUGAACGCUAGCGGCAGGCCUAACACAUGCAAGUCGAACGAGUGGCGGACGGGUGAGUAAUAUAUGGGAAAGUGCCUGAUGGAGGGGGAUAACUACUGGAAAGGGUAGCUAAUACCGCAUACUAUUGGAUGUGCCCAUAUGGGAUUAGCUAGUGGGUGGGGUAAAGGCUCACCAAGGCCACGAUCCGUAGCUGGUCUGAGAGGAUGACCAGCCACACUGGAACAGAGACACGGUCCAGACUCCUACGGGAGGCAGCAGUGGGGAAGUUUGCACAAUGGGCGCAAGCCUGAUGCAGCCAUGCCGCGUGUAUGAAGAAGGCCUUCGGGUUGUAAAGUACUUUAGGCGGGGAAGCGGUACCCGCAGAAGAAGCACCGGCUAACUCCGUGCCAGCAGCCGCGGUAAUAC